AUUGAACGCUGGCGGCAGGCUUAACACAUGCAAGUCGAGCGGGGAAGGGUAGCUUGCUACCUAACCUAGCGGCGGACGGGUGAGUAAUGCUUAGGAAUCUGCCAUUUAGUGGGGGACAACAUUCCGAAAGGAAUGCUAAUACCGCAUACGUCCUACGGGAGAAAGCAGGAGAUCUUCGGACCUUGCGCUAAAUGAUGAGCCUAAGUCGCAUUAGCUAGUUGGUGGGGUAAAGGCCUACCAAGGCGACGAUCUGUAGCGGGUCUGAGAGGAUGAUCCGCCACCCUGGGACUGAGACACGGCCCAGACUCCUACGGGAGGCAGCAGUGGGGAAUAUUGGACAAUGGGCGGAAGCCUGAUCCAGCCAUGCCGCGUGUGUGAAGAAGGCCUUAUGGUUGUAAAGCACUUUAAGCGAGGAGGAGGCUACUUAGAUUAAUACUCUAGGAUAGUGGACGUUACUCGCAGAAUAAGCACCGGCUAACUCUGUGCCAGCCGCCGCGGUAA
rnacentral:rRNA from 1 species